ensembl:lncRNA
AAACAACCAUUUUACGGCGUAGGAGAUCAUUCAUUUCCAUUGCUGGCCGUCAAGUAACUUCUGAGUUGCCUUAUUAGGUCCUCCAUAGUCGCCCCAUCAGUCCCUGGCAGUCUGGUCCCUGGAGCAGCUGCCCCUGGAUCACCUGCCCCUGGAUCACCUGCCCCUGAAUCACCUGCCCCUGAAUCACCUGCCCCUGGCAAAGUGGCCCAAUUGAUUGCUCUCGCUGUCUCCUGUCAUGUCCUUUUCAUCGCUCUUGAAAUCCACCUCAAUUUCUCCCUCAAUCUCUGUAAUAAUUACAAGGUAAUGUUGCUGUUAUAUGUAUUUUUGCAUUUGCAACUACUGUCAUCUCCAAUGUAAGAAAAUUAAUUAAAGCGAAACAUUUCUGUAAUGUGAAUUAAAUCAUCUGCCACAAUCAGAAACCAAUAAAAUGUAUAAAUGGAUCUACCGGCAAUUGUUAAUUGGGUAGAAAUGUGUAGAUUAUCCACAUUGUGUGCAAAUCCUCAGAGAAUCCCUGACCUCUGGUUGUUUCUUAAACUGAAUGUACAAAUAUGAAUUAUGCAAUCUCAUUAGUAGUGUAGUCUAUCCUUGAAUUACAUGAAAUGGGGAAUAUUGUUAUUAAACUUCGGUAUGGAUCAUACCGAAGUUUAAUUUGGUGAAAUAUGUGUGGUCCGUUGCACUUGGUUCUGGAGGCGCCCUCACAGAAGGGGGUUUCCUCCUCUUCGGCUUAGGGCGAUGAUUGAAAACUGUUGGUACUGCAUCGGGCCUCAGCUUCAACAUCCCUUCUCUUUUUGUGGCAGUGAAUUAGUUCAAAGUGUACCUGUAGGUAGGCUUGUAAGAUCAGUUUCCAUUGCACUUCAAAUAUCAUUGAAAAGUCAUAAUUUUCUACACUUAGAAUUAUUAUGCCCUUUGAAAUGCUAUCAAGUGUUGUGAACAUUACUUACAUUACAUCGUUUUUGACUGUUGCUGACCCCUGUCACUUGUACGUUUUGACGUGCUGGCCAUUGCCAUCCAUUUCUUCCUGCGCUCUUGGUCCUUGGGGAAGCCAUACAUGUGGGAACCCUUCUCGGACCGAUUGGAGCAUCCAAACGCUGCACAGCCAACCAUGGUAUGACCAUUGAUCUAAACCAAUUUUGAAUUUGCUCAGGGCUACUAUAAGUAUUGUAAUGGCAUAAAGUAUAGUAUAUUUGCAAUGUUAUAUGUUAAUGGUUUGCCCUAAGUAUAU